GUAUUUUUUUGCGUCACCAGAAAUCCUGAAGUUUCCAAACCAGGCGGUGUUUGCUGUCAAAGACCUGAACCUAAAGACGCAGAGCCUUUGCAAACACUCCCAGCUGUUCAGGGUUUUUUUUGGGCAAAUGGGGAAUUGAGUUACCAUCGGCCUCAAAGCCACAGAAGACUAGUACUUUGUUCGCCCAGACACAUGGAGCAAUAGCAGGCUGCAGCUUCAUAACCCACUUUCCCUUCCCAUCAACAACAACAACACGAUAUUCAUUAGAGAAAAACCAUCAAUUCACAGCUGCAGGCUCGCUGCAGACGAGGAACAAUGCGAGCAUUAACGUUGCACGACAGCGCCAAUUCUGGUACUGAUCCUGUAACCGCGCCGCAUGGCUCAGACCAGAGAAAACUGGCGUGGGGAGGGGAAAAGAACGACCUAACUGUGAGCACAGCAGAACAUUCCCACAAGCAAUCGAAUGAGGGAACAGGAGAUCGAUGGCCGGGUAACCGCCGGCAGUUUGAACUUUAAGAGGAAUUGGUAUGAUUGAUUUUUUUUUUUCCCAUCCCUUCUAGGAUCUUUCAUCUGUGACUUUAAAAAGUGGAGGUGCUUGGACUGGGGAGGUGUGAGUUUACUUGAAAGACCUUCCAGAGGUCAAAUAGGAUCGAAAGAUCUUUGCCGGACAACUCCAUUUCUUUGUCUCGGGAGCUGCAGAUUCCAGACGCAGGCUUGCCUGAAGGUAGCUCAAGUGAUACGAUUUCUGAGAAAUCCAUGUUCUGUGAGGAAUAAAUAAUGAGGGCUGAGAAAUCUACAGGAGGACAACAAACGUUAAAAAAGAUGACAUUCGGUGUCGCGGUAAGGGACUCUGUGAAUUAAUGGCCGGGUAAGCCGGAUAUUUUUUUUUCCCCGUAUUUGAACAAAAUAUGUCCAAGAGGUAAAACAAGAACUGGAAAAGCAAAUGUGACACUUUUCUCCCUGAAACGCAGCAGCUGAGAGGCACACAGCACCAUGAGAGUCUGUGCUCUUAAAUUAGAGGCAAACUGACAGUGCUGUGGACUUUCACUGCCAACUUUAAAAUGUAUGAAAGCUCAUUUGCAAAAGUCAAAGUAAAUAAUGUUCAAGCUGUGGAGGAAAUUAAAAUACAUGCCAUAAAUUGUAUGUGUUACUUAAGAUUCAGGAAAUUACAAUUUCAGAUUUGAUUUUGCUGGAAUUGUGAUUAAUAAGAGGCAGCAGGUGUUAGCUGGGACGGCCCUAAAAACUGUUCCUGCUUCCUGCAAAAAUGUCACAAUGAGAGAGACGGAACGAGGCGUGAUGAAACUUUCAUUAAUUUAUAUCAUACUUUUUUUGCAAAUAAAUUACAUUGAAUGCAAUUUUUCAGCCAAACGUGUAGGAAAGCAGAAAAAAAAACAUUCCACUAGAUUAAUGAACCCAGCAGGAAAUGAGCAACAUCCAUAAGUGACCGACAUCAAUUAACAUAAAUUGAGACAAAACAAAAGAGAGCUUAAUAAGCUACUGAAGUCCUCUUUUUCUGUCAUAACCUGCAGUUAAAAACUUUUGUCAUUUUCCAGAACAUAGUUGUGGCAGUGGCACAUGGACGUGGACUUGUCCUUCGAGCCUGCGCAGUGGGAUUUUAAGCCCCUCACAUCCUCAAACGUAACAUCGCUGCUGUAACAAAAGUGAUGAGCAAUAUUGGAGCUAUCCAGCUGUACAGUUUUUAGCCCGAUGCCAGCUCAGACAAGGAAAAUGAAGACGUACGGUACGUGAAUCUACACUCGUCAAACAGAGGAUGCAUCAGAAUGGAGCGGAGCAGAGAGUUUGUGACUCGCCCAGCGUCUUUUUUACGUAACAACUACUAGCUUUUUCAAACUGCAUUUUUUUUUCAUCUGCUCCUGAUUCACAAUGAUUUAAAUAAUUUUUAAACAAUUUUAAGCUUAACGUUCUUUAUACAUGCCCUCCAUGAUGAGAAAAAUGCCACAAGAACAUGUUAAAAGUACUGAAAACACCAUUUUCAUUGGUGUGAACAGGCACUCAAGUUAUAAAGCUAUUUGGGUUUGUUUGGUUUAAUUAUCAUUAUUAUUUGGUUUGCAUAAUUUGACCAAGGCUUGCAAAUUUGUUGACCUUUUGUAACUUUUUUCAUGAAAAUCUUUGCUUUUGUUAAUUAACUUUCUCCAUCCAGACUGAUAGAUCAACACUGGUUUGGAAAAAAAAAAAAAUCUCCUCUAACUGGUGGUGCGUUUUCCUUUUUCCUUUUUUUUAUUGUGAUAAAAUAAUGUUGCCAAACCUGAUAACUACAGAAAGUCAGCAAAUUAAUCACAGCUGGUUUCCACAGGUCCUUUAAAAUCAAUACGAAUCUGUUAUAAUCUGCUUUUGCAUCCUUUUAGGCCAACUUCUUCAGAAAAUUAGGCCUAAAUGUAAAAUCAAUGCUAUUAGAUCUAGUCACUUAACUCAAAAUGGUGUUGUUUUGAAUGAAACUAUAGCAUUGCAUUUAUCAGAGGAAACACUGGAAAGGUUUGUCCUGGUUGAUGCUGUGGCACUUGGUCAUGUUUUCUCCCAGUUAAAGCCACCUGCCUUUUAGACCCAAUCCCCACAUCGCUGUUAAAAACAUUUUAGGACUUCUUUAAGUUUGAGCUUUUAAAUAUUUUAAAUUACUCUCUUUAGACAGGUGUCUUCCCUGCUGCCCUUUAAACGGCAGUGGUGAGGCCUCUUCUGAAGGACAGUAAUUUGGAUCCAUACAACUAUAACAAUUAUCGUCCAGUAUCCAACUUACCAUUUUUAAGUAAAAUGAACGUAAAAAUUGUUUUAAUCCAAUUUAAUGAGUUUUUGAAUAGAAAUAACAUAUUUGAAAAAUAUCAGUCCGGUUUUAGGACAAACCACAGUACAGAGACGGCCCUUGUUAAAAUAGUAAAUGAUAUUAGAUGUAACCUGGACUGUCAGAAACUCUCAGUCCUACUGGAUCUCAGUGCUGCAUUUGAUACAGUAGAUCACAGUAUUUUACUCAACAGGCGGAGAGGUUUGGGCAUCUCGGGUACCGUACUAAAGUGGUUUUACUCCUAUCUCACAGAUCGAAGAUUUUACGUAAGUAUGGAUACACAUCAACUGCGUGGUACCCCAGGGUUCAAUUUUAGGCUCGCUACUUUUUAAUCUAUAUAUGCUGCCAUUUAGGAGGGAGCCGGUUUAGCUUGUGCUGGUUUGCGGCGCCUUCCGUCCGUGAAACCAGGGUUCAACUCCGGGCUGCUCCCUGUUCCCCUCUCCACCCCCGUGCCAGUCUCAAGCCCAGCUUGAGAAGGUUGCAUCAGGAAGGGCAUCGUAAAACAUUGCCAAGUUUACCAUGCAACUUGUUCACUGUGGCAACCCCUGAUGGGAGAAGCCAAAAGAGGAAGAAAGAUAAGCUGCCACUUAGGGACAUCAUCAG